rnacentral:rRNA from 1 species
GCGUGAGGAACCUGCCUCAAAGAGGGGGACAACAGUUGGAAACGACUGCUAAUACCGCAUAAGCCCACGGGUCGGCAUCGACCUGAGGGAAAAGGAGCAAUCCGCUUUGAGAUGGCCUCGCGUCCGAUUAGCUAGUUGGUGAGGUAACGGCCCACCAAGGCGACGAUCGGUAGCCGGACUGAGAGGUUGAACGGCCACAUUGGGACUGAGACACGGCCCAGACUCCUACGGGAGGCAGCAGUGGGGAAUAUUGCACAAUGGGGGAAACCCUGAUGCAGCGACGCCGCGUGGAGGAAGAAGGUCUUCGGAUUGUAAACUCCUGUUGUUGAGGAAGAUAAUGACGGUACUCAACAAGGAAGUGACGGCUAACUACGUGCCAGCAGCCGCGGUAAAACGUA